AUGGCGUCGAGCAGUGGGCAGGCAACUCCAAGGCCUAUCUUACCCGCUGUGGCCAAUGCUGCUGCUGUCCCUCCGCCGGCGACCACCAUGGAGCCCAAGAUGGAUGCCGGGCUGCGAGCAUUGGCCUACUCUGGCUCUUUUCAAGAUCUGGAAUCACUCCUCAACGGGAAAGCAGCCGCCUACACCAUCGGAAGCUCGGCGACGCAGCCGCCAGCUUUGUACGCGGUCACCGUUGGAGGUGACACCCUUCUCCACGUGGUCGCCGCCAUUAAUGGCGAUUCUGAGGAUUCCACCAACAAGGCCAGCCUCGUCUACGACAAGGCACCUAGCAUCCUCUUCGUGCAAAACUGCCACGGAGAUACACCCCUGCACUCUGCUGCACGGGCGGGCAACAUGAGAAUGGUGUCUCUUCUCAUUGAUCUCGCCAAUGGUCAGGGUAUUAACAAUGCAAAGGGACUUCUUGAAACACAAAACAAGAUCCAUGAGACAGCCUUGCAUGAGGCCGUCCGCUCUGGGAACAAUGAUAUGGUCAAGUUGUUCAUGGAGGAGAACCCACAACUGGCCCGUUUUCCUGAACAAGGCACUUCGCCGUUGUACCUAGCCGUCUUACUGGAAAACAAAAUCAUCGCAAAAACACUCUACGACUUGAGUGGUGGGCUUCUUUCAUACUCUGGACCAGAUGGACGAAAUGCAUUGCAUGUCGCUGUUCAAGGAAGCCAAGGUUCAAAUUUUAAUAUAGGUGAAUCUUGCAAAAAUGAUAUUUAG
rnacentral:rRNA from 1 species